AAGAAAAAGAAGAAAAAAAACAAGCAUUCAAAAAAAGUGAAGAAAGAGAAGAAAAAGAAGAGGAAGAAACAGAAAUGUCAGAUACAGAGUGAGUCAACUGACAACUCUUCAAGCUCUGAAGACGAGUGGGUUGAGGCUGCUCCCUCCCAGAUACCUGGCAAAGAAAAGACCUGGAAGGUGAAAGACAAAAAGACAGAAAAAGAAUGUGACAGCCAAUCUAUUCAGCACGAUGAGUGGAUGACUGUUGAUUUUAUGUCCAUUAAAACUGUGUCUUCAUCAUCACUCAAAGCUGAAAAGGAAACUCUAAGACAAAUAGAGCAGGAGAAAACUCAAGCGUUAGAGCAGUCCAAACUGCUAGAAAGAGAAUUGAAUCCAUACUGGAAGGACGGGGGUACAGGUCUCCCACCGGAAAACUGUAUACUGCCAGUUACUAAAGCUGGAGGAGUAGAGGAUGGUGGAUUAAGCUGGCUAAGAAAGUCUUGUCAAAGAAUGAAGGAACAAGCUCAAAAAGAAAACAGAAA
rnacentral:lncRNA from 1 species